rnacentral:rRNA from 1 species
UACGUAGGUGGCAAGCGUUGUCCGGAAUUAUUGGGCGUAAAGAGCUCGUAGGCGGUUCGUCGCGUCGGCUGUGAAAACCCGGAGCUCAACUCCGGGCCUGCAGUCGAUACGGGCGGACUUGAGUGUUGCAGGGGAGACUGGAAUUCCUGGUGUAGCGGUGGAAUGCGCAGAUAUCAGGAGGAACACCGAUGGCGAAGGCAGGUCUCUGGGCCAUUACUGACACUGAGAAGCGAAAGCAUGGGGAGCGAACAGG